UGAAUUGUGGCUCAGCAGUAGAGUGCUCGUCUAGUACAUGUGAGGCCCUGGGUUCAAUCCUCAGCACCACAU
rnacentral:tRNA from 1 species